AGAAUUUGUCCAAACACCCUGGAGAGGACACAGAAAAGACAGGCACCAGCAACCAACCUCACUCAUCAAUGAGGAGCAGCUGUGCAGAGCCCAAAACAAAGGCCACAUACCAAUCGCCAAAAUGCUCAAUAAAUAUAAUUAAAACUU